UUAAGCGACUAAGCGUACACGGUGGAUGCCCUGGCAGUCAGAGGCGAUGAAGGACGUGCUAAUCUGCGAAAAGCGUCGGUAAGGUGAUAUGAACCGUUAUAACCGGCGAUGUCCGAAUGGGGAAACCCAGUGCAAUUCGUUGCACUAUCGUUAACUGAAUACAUAGGUUAACGAGGCGAACCGGGGGAACUGAAACAUCUAAGUACCCCGAGGAAAAGAAAUCAACCGAGAUUCCCCCAGUAGCGGCGAGCGAACGGGGAGCAGCCCAGAGUCUGAAUCAGCUUGUGUGUUAGUGGAACGGUCUGGAAAGUCCGACGGUACAGGGUGAUAGUCCCGUACACCAAAAUGCACAGGCUGUGAACUCGAAGAGUAGGGCGGGACACGUGGUAUCCUGUCUGAAUAUGGGGGGACCAUCCUCCAAGGCUAAAUACUCCUGACUGACCGAUAGUGAACCAGUACCGUGAGGGAAAGGCGAAAAGAACCCCGGCGAGGGGAGUGAAAAAGAACCUGAAACCGUGUACGUACAAGCAGUGGGAGCACCUUCGGGUGUGACUGCGUACCUUUUGUAUAAUGGGUCAGCGACUUAUAUUCUGUAGCAAGGUUAACCGUAUAGGGGAGCCGCAGGGAAACCGAGUCUUAACUGGGCGUUAAGUUGCAGGGUAUAGACCCGAAACCCGGUGAUCUAGCCAUGGGCAGGUUGAAGGUUGGGUAACACUAACUGGAGGACCGAACCGACUAAUGUUGAAAAAUUAGCGGAUGACUUGUGGCUGGGGGUGAAAGGCCAAUCAAACCGGGAGAUAGCUGGUUCUCCCCGAAAGCUAUUUAGGUAGCGCCUCGUGAAUUCAUCUUCGGGGGUAGAGCACUGUUUCGGCUAGGGGGUCAUCCCGACUUACCAACCCGAUGCAAACUACGAAUACCGAAGAAUGUUAUCACGGGAGACACACGGCGGGUGCUAACGUCCGUCGUGAAGAGGGAAACAACCCAGACCGCCAGCUAAGGUCCCAAAGUCAUGGUUAAGUGGGAAACGAUGUGGGAAGGCACAGACAGCCAGGAUGUUGGCUUAGAAGCAGCCAUCAUUUAAAGAAAGCGUAAUAGCUCACUGGUCGAGUCGGCCUGCGCGGAAGAUGUAACGGGGCUAAACCAUGCACCGAAGCUGCGGCAGCGACACUAUGUGUUGUUGGGUAGGGGAGCGUUCUGUAAGCCUGCGAAGGUGUGCUGUGAGGCAUGCUGGAGGUAUCAGAAGUGCGAAUGCUGACAUAAGUAACGAUAAAGCGGGUGAAAAGCCCGCUCGCCGGAAGACCAAGGGUUCCUGUCCAACGUUAAUCGGGGCAGGGUGAGUCGACCCCUAAGGCGAGGCCGAAAGGCGUAGUCGAUGGGAAACAGGUUAAUAUUCCUGUACUUGGUGUUACUGCGAAGGGGGGACGGAGAAGGCUAUGUUAGCCGGGCGACGGUUGUCCCGGUUUAAGCAUGUAGGCUGGUUAUCCAGGCAAAUCCGGAUAAUCAAGGCUGAGGUGUGAUGACGAGGCACUACGGUGCUGAAGUAACAAAUGCCCUGCUUCCAGGAAAAGCCUCUAAGCAUCAGGUAACAUCAAAUCGUACCCCAAACCGACACAGGUGGUCAGGUAGAGAAUACCAAGGCGCUUGAGAGAACUCGGGUGAAGGAACUAGGCAAAAUGGUGCCGUAACUUCGGGAGAAGGCACGCUGGUGUGUAGGUGAAGUCCCUGCGGAUGGAGCUGAGACCAGUCGAAGAUACCAGCUGGCUGCAACUGUUUAUUAAAAACACAGCACUGUGCAAACACGAAAGUGGACGUAUACGGUGUGACGCCUGCCCGGUGCCGGAAGGUUAAUUGAUGGGGUUAUCCGUAAGGAGAAGCUCUUGAUCGAAGCCCCGGUAAACGGCGGCCGUAACUAUAACGGUCCUAAGGUAGCGAAAUUCCUUGUCGGGUAAGUUCCGACCUGCACGAAUGGCGUAAUGAUGGCCAGGCUGUCUCCACCCGAGACUCAGUGAAAUUGAACUCGCUGUGAAGAUGCAGUGUACCCGCGGCAAGACGGAAAGACCCCGUGAACCUUUACUAUAGCUUGACACUGAACAUUGAGCCUUGAUGUGUAGGAUAGGUGGGAGGCUUUGAAGCGUGGACGCCAGUCUGCGUGGAGCCAACCUUGAAAUACCACCCUUUAAUGUUUGAUGUUCUAACGUUGGCCCCUUACCGGGGUUGCGGACAGUGUCUGGUGGGUAGUUUGACUGGGGCGGUCUCCUCCCAAAGCGUAACGGAGGAGCACGAAGGUUAGCUAAUCCUGGUCGGACAUCAGGAGGUUAGUGCAAUGGCAUAAGCUAGCUUGACUGCGAGCGUGACGGCGCGAGCAGGUGCGAAAGCAGGUCAUAGUGAUCCGGUGGUUCUGAAUGGAAGGGCCAUCGCUCAACGGAUAAAAGGUACUCCGGGGAUAACAGGCUGAUACCGCCCAAGAGUUCAUAUCGACGGCGGUGUUUGGCACCUCGAUGUCGGCUCAUCACAUCCUGGGGCUGAAGUAGGUCCCAAGGGUAUGGCUGUUCGCCAUUUAAAGUGGUACGCGAGCUGGGUUUAGAACGUCGUGAGACAGUUCGGUCCCUAUCUGCCGUGGGCGCUGGAGAAUUGAGGGGGGCUGCUCCUAGUACGAGAGGACCGGAGUGGACGCAUCACUGGUGUUCGGGUUGUCAUGCCAAUGGCACUGCCCGGUAGCUAAAUGCGGAAGAGAUAAGUGCUGAAAGCAUCUAAGCACGAAACUUGCCCCGAGAUGAGUUCUCCCUGAGACUUUAAGUCUCCUGAAGGAACGUUAAAGACGAUGACGUUGAUAGGCCGGGUGUGUAAGCGCAGCGAUGCGUUGAGCUAACCGGUACUAAUGAACCGUGAGGCUUAACCUU
rnacentral:rRNA from 4 species